UACGUAGGUGGCUAGCGUUAUCCGGAAUUACUGGGCGUAAAGGGUGCGUAGGCGGUCUUUCAAGCCAGAAGUGAAAGGCUACGGCUCAACCGUAGUAAGCUUUUGGAACUGUAAGACUUGAGUGCAGGAGAGGAGAGUGGAAUUCCUAGUGUAGCGGUGAAAUGCGUAGAUAUUAGGAGGAACACCAGUAGCGAAGGCGGCUCUCUAGACAGAUACUGACGCUGAGGCUCUAAAGUUAGGGGAGCAAACAGGAUUAGAUACCCGCGUAGU
rnacentral:rRNA from 1 species